UCAACAUACAUCUUAUAUCAUCAUUACUUGGCACAUAUUACAUGCAUUACUUAACAUCUAUCACAUGCAUUCAUUCCUUAGCAUCUUUAUCAUGGCAUUGUAUACAUUUAUUAGCAUCAUUAUAGUGCAUUCUUACUUGACAUUCUUAUUACGCAUUCUUACUUAACAUUCUUAUCAUGCAUCAAUAGUGAAACACACUACACUUUGGCAUGAAGGCGACCUAGUCGCUUCGGUAAGCACAACCCACCUUUUAACGCGUUCCGAUUGCUUGUCGUCACUUGCAAUCGGCCUCCCGCAGCACCCGUGACCCGGUUCGGCUCGAACUCUCGCGCGACCACCCGAACGGCCACCAAUCCGCGAUCCGUCUGUUCGGGAGUUUAUUCCCCGACAUUACGAUGCUCCUGAUCCAUUUUCAUGAUUUUUGGAG
rnacentral:lncRNA from 1 species